AUUGAACGCUAGCGGCAUGCCUAACACAUGCAAGUCGAACGGCAGCACGAGGAGCUUGCUCCUUGGUGGCGAGUGGCGGACGGGUGAGUAACGCGUAGGAAUCUGCCUCGUAGUGGGGGACAACCCGGGGAAACUCGGGCUAAUACCGCAUAAUCUCUUCGGAGCAAAGUUGGGGACCUUCGGGCCUAACACUAUGAGAUGAGCCUGCGUUGGAUUAGCUAGUUGGUGGGGUAAAGGCCUACCAAGGCGACGAUCCAUAGCUGGUCUGAGAGGACGACCAGCCACACUGGGACUGAGACACGGCCCAGACUCCUACGGGAGGCAGCAGUGGGGAAUAUUGGACAAUGGGCGAAAGCCUGAUCCAGCAAUGCCGCGUGUGUGAAGAAGGCCUUCGGGUUGUAAAGCACUUUUAGUGGGGAAGAAAAAGACAAGGAUAAUACCCUUGGAAAUUGACGUUACCCACAGAAAAAGCACUGGCUAACUCUGUGCCAGCCGCCGCGGUAA
rnacentral:rRNA from 1 species